UACGGAGGGUGCAAGCGUUAUCCGGAAUCAUUGGGUUUAAAGGGUCCGCAGGCGGUUUAAUAAGUCAGUGGUGAAAGCCUACAGCUCAACUGUAGAACUGCCAUUGAUACUGUUAGACUUGAAUUCGGUCGAAGUGGGCGGAAUAUGUCAUGUAGCGGUGAAAUGCUUAGAUAUGACAUAGAACACCAAUUGCGAAGGCAGCUCACUACGGAUAUAUUGACACUGAGGCACGAAAGCGUGGGGAUCAAACAGG
rnacentral:rRNA from 1 species